rnacentral:rRNA from 1 species
UUCUGGCUCAGGACGAACGCUGGCGGCGUGCUUAACACAUGCAAGUCGAGCGAUGAAGUCCUCGGGACGGAUAGCGGCGGACGGGUGAGUAACACGUGGGUAACCUGCCUCAUAGAGGGGAAUAGCCUUUCGAAAGGAAGAUUAAUACCGCAUAAGAUUGUAGUUUCGCAUGAAACAGCAAUUAAAGGAGUAAUCCGCUAUGAGAUGGACCCGCGUCGCAUUAGCUAGUUGGUGAGGUAACGGCUCACCAAGGCGACGAUGCGUAGCCGACCUGAGAGGGUGAUCGGCCACAUUGGGACUGAGACACGGCCCAGACUCCUACGGGAGGCAGCAGUGGGGAAUAUUGCACAAUGGGGGAAACCCUGAUGCAGCAACGCCCGCGUGAGUGAUGACGGUCUUCGGAUUGUAAAGCUCUGUCUUCAGGGACGAUAAUGACGGUACCUGAGGAGGAAGCCACGGCUAACUACGUGCCAGCAGCUGC